GCCAACGUAGCACAAUGGUAGUGCGUUGCUUUCCUAUCUCCUGUCACAUUGCUAGGGUAUAAGGCAGAGGCUGUGGGUUCGAGUCCCAUCGUUGGUU
rfam:Hebeloma cylindrosporum h7 unplaced genomic scaffold scaffold_11, whole genome shotgun sequence.